rnacentral:rRNA from 1 species
UACGUAGGGGGCAAGCGUUGUCCGGAUUUAUUGGGCGUAAAGAGCUCGUAGGCGGUUCGUCGCGUCGGCUGUGAAAUCCCGAGGCUCAACCUCGGGUCUGCAGUCGAUACGGGCGGACUGGAGUUCGGCAGGGGAGACUGGAAUUCCUGGUGUAGCGGUGAAAUGCGCAGAUAUCAGGAGGAACACCGAUGGCGAAGGCAGUUCUCUGGGCCGUAACUGACGCUGAGGAGCGAAAGCGUGGGGAGCGAACAGG